UAUGGCGACCGGCGCACGGGUGAGUAACACGUAUCCAACCUGCCGAUGACUCGGGGAUAGCCUUUCGAAGGAAAGAUUAAUACCCGAUGGCAUAGUUCUUCCGCAUGGUAGAACUAUUAAAGAAUUUCGGUCAUCGAUGGGGAUGCGUUCCAUUAGGCAGUUGGUGGGGUAAUGGCCCACCAAACCUUCGAUGGAUAGGGGUUCUGAGAGGAAGGUCCCCCACAUUGGAACUGAGACACGGUCCAAACUCCUACGGGAGGCAGCAUG
rnacentral:rRNA from 1 species